AUAUUAUCAAACCAUUUGCCCAUCACAUCUCGACUAACUCGAUUCAGUUGAUGUUAAUUAGAUAUCACUGGGUUGAGUUUGUCUCGAUGUUUUGUGCCCAUCAUCAAGGAUCAAUC
rnacentral:precursor_RNA from 15 species